rnacentral:rRNA from 1 species
GUGCCAGCAGCCGCGGUAAUACGUAGGUGGCAAGCGUUAUCCGGAAUUAUUGGGCGUAAAGCGCGCGUAGGCGGUUUUUUAAGUCUGAUGUGAAAGCCCACGGCUCAACCGUGGAGGGUCAUUGGAAACUGGAAAACUUGAGUGCAGAAGAGGAAAGUGGAAUUCCAUGUGUAGCGGUGAAAUGCGCAGAGAUAUGGAGGAACACCAGUGGCGAAGGCGACUUUCUNGGUCUGUAACUGACGCUGAUGUGCGAAAGCGUGG